UACAGAGGGUGCGUGCGUUAAUCGGAUUUACUGGGCGUAAAGCGCGCGUAGGCGGCGAAUUAAGUCGGGUGUGAAAGCCCCGGGCUCAACCUGGGAAUUGCAUCCGAUACUGAUUGGCUAGAGUGCAAGAGAGGAAGGUAGAAUUCCACGUGUAGCGGUGAAAUGCGUAGAUAUGUGGAGGAACACCAGUGGCGAAGGCGGCCUUCUGGCUUGACACUGACGCUGAGGUGCGAAAGCGUGGGGAGCAAACAGG
rnacentral:misc_RNA from 1 species